rnacentral:rRNA from 1 species
AGAGUUUGAUCCUGGCUCAGGAUGAACGCUGGCGGCGUGCUUAACACAUGCAAGUCGAACGAACCUUCGGGUUAGUGGCGGACGGGUGAGUAACGCGUGAGAAUCUGCCCUCAGGAGGGGGAUAACAGUUGGAAACGACUGCUAAUACCCCAUAUGCCGGGAGGUGAAAUGAAUUUCGCCUGGGGAUGAGCUCGCGUCUGAUUAGCUUGUUGGUGGGGUAAUAGCCUACCAAGGCUUCGAUCAGUAGCUGGUCUGAGAGGACGAUCAGCCACACUGGGACUGAGACACGGCCCAGACUCCUACGGGAGGCAGCAGUGGGGAAUUUUCCGCAAUGGGCGAAAGCCUGACGGAGCAACGCCGCGUGAGGGAUGGAGGCCUUUGGGCUGUAAACCUCUUUUCUCAAGGAAGAAGAUCUGACGGUACUUGAGGAAUAAGCCACGGCUAAUUCCGUGCCAGCAGCCGCGGUAAUACGGGAGUGGCAAGCGUUAUCCGGAAUUAUUGGGCGUAAAGCGUCCGCAGGCGGCCGUUUAAGUCUGUUGUUAAAUCGUGGAGCUCAACUCCAUCACGGCAAUGGAAACUGUUCGGCUUGAGUAUGGUAGGGGCAGAGGGAAUUUCCGGUGUAGCGGUGAAAUGCGUAGAUAUCGGGAAGAACACCAGUGGCGAAAGCGCUCUGCUGGGCCAUUACUGACGCUCAUGGACGAAAGCCAGGGGAGCGAAAGGGAUUAGAUACCCCUGUAGUCCUGGCCGUAAACGAUGAACACUAGAUGUUGGGGGAAUCGACCCCCUCGGUGUCGUAGCUAACGCGUUAAGUGUUCCGCCUGGGGAGUACGCACGCAAGUGUGAAACUCAAAGGAAUUGACGGGGGCCCGCACAAGCGGUGGAGUAUGUGGUUUAAUUCGAUGCAACGCGAAGAACCUUACCAAGGCUUGACAUCCUGCGAAUCUCUAAGAAAUUAGAGAGUGCCUUCGGGAACGCAGUGACAGGUGGUGCAUGGCUGUCGUCAGCUCGUGUCGUGAGAUGUUGGGUUAAGUCCCGCAACGAGCGCAACCCACGUUUUUAGUUGCCAGCAUUCAGUUGGGCACUCUAGAAAGACUGCCGGUGACAAACCGGAGGAAGGUGUGGACGACGUCAAGUCAUCAUGCCCCUUACGCCUUGGGCUACACACGUACUACAAUGCUGCGGACAAAGAGUAGCGAUCUUGCGAAAGUUAGCUAAUCCCAUAAACCGUGGCUCAGUUCAGAUCGUAGGCUGCAACUCGCCUACGUGAAGGAGGAAUCGCUAGUAAUCGCAGGUCAGCAUACUGCGGUGAAUACGUUCCCGGGCCUUGUACACACCGCCCGUCACACCAUGGAAGUUGGCCAUGCCCGAAGUCGUUACUCUAACCUUUUGGAAGAGGGCGCCGAAGGCAGGGCUAAUGACUGGGGUGAAGUCGUAACAAGGUAACC